rnacentral:lncRNA from 1 species
GGGAGUAAUGGUGUUAAUUUUUGUUUCGAGUGGUUGUUAGAGGUUGGGUGGAACUAGGAUUCUAAGAUAGUUGGGUGUUGGUGGGUUAGUGGGAGGAUUUUAGGGGAGUUGUUGAUAUAUUAUCUUAUUUUAUUUCUUUUAUUAUUUUUUUCUCUCUCUUCUAAAAUUCUCAAAAAUUUGACGUUAAUUUUUUCUAUUUUCUACCACUUUCUUAUUCAUCUUCUUUUUCGGUGAUUCUAUUUUUCUUCUUUCUAUCUGCUGCCAUAAUUUUG